UGGCUUCAGUGUCUGUACACCACACAGGGUCCACUGCGAUGCCUUGGCUCAGGAUCUAGCCUGCCCUUCUUGUCUUCCCCCUAUCAUUCCCACUUGUUUUACACCAUGUCGAGUGUCAUGGCUUUAGCAUGUCUUUCUCAGCCUUUCCGCCAACCAUUCUAUGGAGGUUAGGGCUUCGGCUCUAUUCUCCUGUUACUGUCUGUACAACUUUAACAGGGCUGACUCUACUGGCUCUUACAGGCUCCCUUCGGUGAAUUCUGAUCACCACCAUGAUACUACCAGGAACACAGCAGCCUGAGUCUUGGAGAGACAAUGGAAGGUUCCAUCAUGCACAGAAGACUCCUGCCACUUGUCAGCAGACUUGGCUUUCAGUAAACAGUUGAUGUCUAUGAAAAUCUAACUGUCUUGUUAAAGAGAGUGAUUUCUGCAUUUGGCAUUUGAAAGACUAUGGAGGAGGCUUGAGUGGCAUUCCCACCAUGUUUCCUGAGCACAGAGGACAGCUUUGCAAAGACACUGCUUGGAAGUGGACUGCGCAGGCUUCUUAGAUAUGUAGCCAUCUUCUGGGACCUGCCAGUCUUGGAGAGAGAGAAGAUCCAGAAUUCUACAAGCUGCAAACACACUGUAUUAGAGCAGGCUGAGAUCAGAUGGCUGGGGAGAAAUACAGAUGGAUGGAGUUCUUUUCCUGGAGUUUGCCUGGAAAGGUCAGUGAACAGCAGAAAUAAGGACACAUUUGACCCUCUUGGGAUAUUCCGAAACACCACACUUAGUCAAUUGCCAUCUAAUGAUAAAAUUCAUUGACUAUUUCUUUUCAGGUGUUUUGUUUGCAUUUAUUCAUUUGUUUCUCUGAACAACUUUGUUUGGUAGACAUCUCUUCCAGGUGAAGAGAAGAAGGCUGUGAAGGGAUUGUUUCACAAAAUUAAACAACCAAAUAGAGGUUUGUUUGAGUCCUCAGUCCACAACUCUCCCACAAUACCAUGCUUUGACCUUUCCUUGUUAUUUGAUCUGAUUCUUUGGUGAUGUUUUAUGCUUCUUUGGUUUGGUGAUUGCGACCCCAUCAGUCUUGACGAAUUCAUCUUGGAAAUUCUGCCCUAGAAUCUCAGUUGAUUUUUUUUUUUUGAGUGUCUCGUCCACUUUGAAGCCUGCACCUCUAAUUCUGACAUCAAUAUCCCCCCUCCCUGACAUCUAUCAACUCCACAGCUAUAAUCUUUCUCCUGUUACUCCUGUCUGCCACCUCUGAGCUCAGUGUUAAAGACAG
rnacentral:lncRNA from 1 species